UACGGAGGGUGCAAGCGUUAUCCGGAUUCACUGGGUUUAAAGGGUGCGUAGGUGGGCAGGUAAGUCAGUGGUGAAAUCUCCGAGCUUAACUCGGAAACUGCCAUUGAUACUAUCUGUCUUGAAUAUCCUGGAGGUGAGCGGAAUAUGUCAUGUAGCGGUGAAAUGCUUAGAUAUGACAUAGAACACCAAUUGCGAAGGCAGCUCACUACGGGAUUAUUGACACUGAGGCACGAAAGCGUGGGGAUCAAACAGG
rnacentral:rRNA from 1 species